rnacentral:rRNA from 1 species
AUUGAACGCUGGCGGCAGGCCUAACACAUGCAAGUCGAGCGAGCGGCGGACGGGUGAGUAAUGACUGGGAAUUGCACAGUCGAGGGGGAUAACAGUUGGAAACGACUGCUAAUACCGCAUACGAUGGGAUUGCCCAGGGGGGGAUAGCUAGUUGGUGAGGUAAUGGUUCACCAAGGCGACGAUCCCUAGCUGGUCUGAGAGGAUUAUCAGCCACACUGGAACUGAGACACGGUCCAGACUCCUACGGGAGGCAGCAGUGGGUAAUAUUGCACAAUGGGGGAAUCCCUGAUGCAGCCAUGCCGCGUGUGUGAAGAAGGCCUUCGUGUUGUAAAGCACUUUCAGCGAGGAGGCGUUACUCGCAGAAGAAGCACCGGCUAACUCCGUGCCAGCAGCCGCGGUAAUUC